CGCAUCAGCAUGGCGCGGUGAAUACGUUCCCGGGCCUUGUACACACCGCCCGUCACACCACCCGAGUUGGGGGUACCCGAAGUCGCUAGUCUAACUUGCAAAAGAGGACGGCGCCGAAGGUAUGCCUGGUAAGGGGGGUGAAGUCGUAACAAGGUAGCCGUACUGGAAAGUGCGGCUGGAUCACCUCCUUU
rnacentral:rRNA from 1 species